rfam:Triticum aestivum genome assembly, contig: Triticum_aestivum_CS42_TGACv1_scaffold_621937_7DS
GCAGCAAGAGCCACUCAGGCUAGCUAAGGUGACUGCCCAUGAGAACCCACGCCAAGGCUAAUGAAGCAUUGAACAUGGAUGAAGACAUAGGCAAGUCAUCCUUGGCUAUCAGAGGUAAGGCCCUUGCAA